rnacentral:rRNA from 1 species
GAUGAACGCUGGCGGCGUGCCUAAUACAUGCAAGUCGAGCGAACGGACGAGAAGCUUGCUUCUCUGAUGUUAGCGGCGGACGGGUGAGUAACACGUGGAUAACCUACCUAUAAGACUGGGAUAACUUCGGGAAACCGGAGCUAUUACCGGAUAAUAUUUUGAACCGCAUGGUUCAAAAGUGAAAGACGGUCUUGCUGUCACUUAUAGAUGAAUCCGCGCUGCAUUAGCUAGUUGGUAAGGUAACGGCUUACCAAGGCAACGAUGCAUAGCCGACCUGAGAGGGUGAUCGGCCACACUGGAACUGAGACACGGUCCAGACUCCUACGGGAGGCAGCAGUAGGGAAUCUUCCGCAAUGGGCGAAAGCCUGACGGAGCAACGCCGCGUGAGUGAUGAAGGUCUUCGGAUCGUAAAACUCUGUUAUUAGGGAAGAACAUAUGUGUAAGUAACUGUGCACAUCUUGACGGUACCUAAUCAGAAAGCCACGGCUAACUACGUG